rnacentral:misc_RNA from 1 species
CGCAGCCGCGGUAAUUCCAGCUCCAAUAGCGUAUAUUAAAGUUGUUGCAGUUAAAAAGCUCGUAGUUGAAUUUCGGGAUCAAUAUGUUGGUCGUGCCUCGGUACGUACUAGCAUAUUGGUUUCUCCUUUCUGAAGAACCAUGAUGUCAUUUAUUUGGUGUCGUGGGGAAUCAGGACUGUUACUUUGAAAAAUUAGAGUGUUUAAAGCAGGCUCACGCUUGAAUACAUUAGCAUGGAAUAAUGAAAUAGGACGUUUGAUUCUAUUUUGUUGGUUUCUAGGAUCGACGUAAUGAUUAAUAGGGAUAGUUGGGGGCAUUAGUAUUCAAUUGUCAGAGGUGAAAUUCUUGGAUUUAUUGAAGACUAACUACUGCGAAAGCAUUUGCCAAGGAUGUUUUCAUUAAUCAAGAACGAAAGUUAGGGGAUCGAAGACGACCAGAUACCGUCGUAGUCUUAACCAUAAACUAUGCCGACUAGGGAUCGGAUGAUGUUAAUUUUUAAUGACUCAUUCGGCGCCUUAACC